AGCCUAGCUCCUUGCCCUAAAUCUGCCGAGCCCUAAUUUGUUCUUCACUGCCGUGCCCUAGGUUUUCCCCUUUCUGGUGAGUGAGGUUUGGUGUCAACGGGAUUAAGCUGUUGUUGGAGCUGAGGAAUCUGAUCAUUAUUCGUACACUUAGGACAUUGAUUCGAGACGGUGUCUCGACGAGGGAUCAAUUUCGGAUUGGACUUU